GUUCUGUAGGUUUUAGCAUUUUGUAGCAUUUAGCUAGCAUUGGAAACAUUGAUUUGCAUAUUCGAUGUUACUGCACAUUUGAAUAUUGCCCCAUCUGCGUUUAAAAUUUCAUUCGCACUCCGAAUAGCACACUUAUUUUAUUUGUUUUAUUGCAGUAUCAAGUUAGAAGAACGUUAGCUAUCCACUGCUUGCUAAGCUUCGCCUGUGUGAGUGUGUCACGCAGGCGACCUCUGAAGGUUGCUGCUUGUGGAAUUUGGAGCUGUGGAGAUUUGAGCUGUGCUCCAAAAGUGCAUGUAAAGAGUUCCCGAAGUGAAGUGAAGUGUGAAUGCAUCCUUCAAGCUGUGAUUAUAUACCUGAAUGAGAACCCUCAAAAUAUCAUCAAAGAGUACAUGGAUUUCAACGUGAUGGAAGCU
ensembl:lncRNA